UUUUGCAGGAUGGAUUCAUCUGAAUGUGACAUUCUCAUCUUUGCAUGGACUGAACCCUACAGCACAAGUGACGCUGUUGCACACGAUGUUCACUGACCAUUGGAAGCAUUCGACAGAGAUGAGCAGCCCAACAUGCCUCAGGUGCUUCUGAGUGCUAUGCAGAGGAGUGACCCAGCACUCCAAGGAUUCUGCCUCAGCACAGCAGCCUGAGGUGGCUGAUGCCUGCAAAUGGGGAGGGACCUGUGCUGCCGACAUCUGCUGGGGACCUCAGAUGCUGACCCAGGCAAGAGAAUAACUGUGCCAGAAAACAAACAAACAAAAAAAAACAAUGCAAGUCACACUGUGAAUAACAGAUUAUAUGCAGAAAGAAUAUCUUCCUGUCUCCAGGGAUUAACUGACAAAUACUUCUCCUGAUGUUAUCCUCACUGGUGCGUAGGCUCAUGUCUGGGCUGGAUGACCUACUUAUCACAUUCAUAAUCAUUUCCAUGAAUUUGGAAUACAUGAAACAAUUUCUAUUUUUGUUUACUCUUGGUUGAUUAUGGAAUAAAUGAAGUGCCCACUUGUUUACAGU
rnacentral:lncRNA from 7 species